AGAGAAGAAGAGAGAGAGAGAGAGUUCUAUCUUCGGAAAGCAAGCAACAGCAACAGCAGCAGCAACAGCAGCAGCACCAGCAGGAGUCGGUAGCAAGCACGAGGACACCGGCAUCAGCAUCAGCAUCAGCAUCGAAGUAGAAGAGAAAGAGAAUGACGCUAAAAACGACACUGGCAGUCUCGUAAAAGAAAAAAAUAGAAUACUAACGUAUUCUACGGACUCUACGAACGUGGAUACCUAACUAUGCUGGAAUUUGUUCUCUACUGCGAUAAAUGGGGGUGGAAGGGGGAGGAGGAGAAGAGUCAGAAAAGGGGGUGAAAGUUCGAAAUCCGGAAAACGUCGACUGUACGACGGCAUUACGCGUCGUACUCGUUAAGCCGAAGCGAAGGCUCGUGUCAGAACGUUUCCUAAUUAACGUAAGUGCCGUUCGUUUUCGACUUUCACGUGAGAAUUUAGCUAAUUCACACCCCUCACCCCCCCUCCCGCUCUCCUCCUCCUCCUCCUCUUCCUCCUCCCAAACUCACCCCCAAGCUCUCCUAAACAUAUAGAUAGACAGGUAGAUAGACAGAUGAAUAAAGAGAGUUGAAACACUAA
rnacentral:lncRNA from 1 species